AGUGAACGCUGGCCGUAGGCCUAACAUAUGCAACUCGAACGGCAGCACAGUAAGAGCUUGCUCUUACGGGUGGCGAGUGGCGGACGGGUGAGGAAUACAUCGGAAUCUACUUUAUCGUGGGGGAUAACGUAGGGAAACUUACGCUAAUACCGCAUACGACCUACGGGUGAAAGCAGGGGAUCUUCGGACCUUGCGCGAUUGACUGAGCCGAUGUCGGAUUAGCUAGUUGGCGGGGUAAAGGCCCACCAAGGCGACGAUCCGUAGCUGGUCUGAGAGGAUGAUCAGCCACACUGGAACUGAGACACGGUCGAGACUCCUUCGGGAGGCAGCAGUGGGGAAUAUUGGACAAUGGGCACAAGCCUGAUCCAGCCAUACCGCGUGGGUGAAGAAGGCCUUCGGGUUGUAAAGCCCUUUUGUUGGGAAAGAAAAGCAGCAGGUUAAUACCCCGCUGUUCUGACGGUACCCAAAGAAUAAGCACCGGCUAACUUCGUG
rnacentral:rRNA from 1 species